rnacentral:tRNA from 2 species
AGAAAGGUAAGCUAAACUAAAGCUCAUAGGUUCAUACCCUAUUUAUGGAUACUCUCCUCUUUCUA